rnacentral:misc_RNA from 1 species
AAUCUGAUGGUGAAAAUUUGAUCUACCAAUCCAAGGGCUAUGAUUCAAUGGUAUACAUUAUCCGAUGGCCAAGUGAUGUUUCUGUUUUUGAAGUUCUGCUUCGCCCGAUCUUUUUACCCGAUCUUUAUUUGAUUUAUUUGUCUGACUUUAUUUGGUUUCCUUAUCCAAUCUCUUUAUUCGGUUUCUCAGAUCUUUCUUCAUUCAAUCCCUCUUUACCCGAUCGAUCUCUCUGAUUUCUCUUCAU